rnacentral:sRNA from 1 species
UGUGGGUUGGACGGGGCCAGAGUGUGAGGCAGAGCUAGGGAGCUGCAUCUCUGCACCCUGUGCCCAUGGGGGGACCUGCUACCCCCAGCCCUCUGGCUACAACUGUACCUGCCCUACAGGCUACACAGGGCCCACCUGUAGUGAGGAGACGACAGCUUGUCACUCAGGGCCAUGUCUCAAUGGCGGCUCCUGCAACCCUAGCCCUGGAGGCUACUACUGCACCUGCCCUCCAAGCCACACAGGGCCCCAGUGCCAAACCAGCACUGACUACUGUGGGUCUGCCCCGUGCUUCAAUGGGGGUACCUGUGUGAACAGGCCUGGCACCUUCUCCUGCCUCUGUGCCACGGGCUUCCAGGGCCCGCGCUGUGAGGGAAAGAUCCGCCCCAGCUGUGCAGACAGACUCUGAUGGACUUAUGUGCCCAGAAGCCCUGCCCACGCAAUUCCCACUGCCUCCAGACUGGGCCCUCCUUCCACUGCUUGUGCCUCCAGGGAUGGACCGGGCCUCUCUGCAACCUUCCACUGUCCUCCUGCCAGAAGGCUGCGCUGAGCCAAGGCAUAGACGUC